rnacentral:rRNA from 1 species
AUACUAAUAGAUAUUAUAAGCCUGAAUUAUUAAUAGAUAUAUUCUUUAAAUUUGAAGAAUUUGGCGGUGAUUUAGUCUUGUUAGAGGAACCUGUUUUAUAAAUCGAUACACCACGUAGAAUCUUACUCUUUUUACUGUAGCUUAUAUACCGUCAUUAUCAGAUAAUUUUAACAAAAUUAAUUAUUAAAAUUUAGAAUAAUAAAUUAAAUUAGAUCAAGGUGUAGCUUAUAAAUGAGUUAAAAUGGGUUACAAUAAAUUUUAUUUAUUACGGAGUAUAAAAAAAAGUGAAUAUGAAGGAGGAUUUAAUUGUAAUAGAAGUUUAAUAAGCUUAAAAGAUAAAAGCCCUAAU